UACGUAGGGCGCAAGCGUUGUCCGGAAUUAUUGGGCGUAAAGAGCUCGUAGGUGGCUUGUCGCGUCUGCCGUGAAAGCCCAUGGCUUAACUGUGGGUCUGCGGUGGAUACGGGCUGGCUAGAGGUAGGUAGGGGCAAGCGGAAUUCCAGGUGUAGCGGUGAAAUGCGUAGAUAUCGGGAGGAACAUCUGUGGCGAAGGCGACUACCUGGCCUGUUCUUGACGCUGAGGCGCGAAAGCUAGGGGAGCAAACGGGG
rnacentral:rRNA from 1 species